rnacentral:rRNA from 1 species
GACGAACGCUGGCGGCGUGCUUAACACAUGCAAGUCGAACGGAAAGGCCCUGCUUUUGUGGGGUGCUCGAGUGGCGAACGGGUGAGUAACACGUGAGUAACCUGCCCUUGACUUUGGGAUAACUUCAGGAAACUGGGGCUAAUACCGGAUAGGAGCUCCUGCUGCAUGGUGGGGGUUGGAAAGUUUCGGCGGUUGGGGAUGGACUCGCGGCUUAUCAGCUUGUUGGUGGGGUAGUGGCUUACCAAGGCUUUGACGGGUAGCCGGCCUGAGAGGGUGACCGGAGACAUUGGGACUGAGAUACGGCCCAGACUGCUACGGGAGGCAGCAGUGGGGAAUAUUGCACAAUGGGAGGAAGCCUGAUGCAGAAACGCAGCGUGCGGGAUGACGGCCUUCGGGUUGUAAACCGAUUUCGCAUGUGACGAAGCGUGAGUGACGGUAAUGGGUAAAGAAGCACCGGCUAACUACGUG